AAACCUGUGUCGACGUGUGUAUCGCUACGGAAAAGUCACGUGACCGAAACAGUUCCUGUAUCGGUCACGUGACCGAUGUUUCGAACUGAUUGACAAGCCUUUAUAAGGAUGCGCAUCUGCCAACGAGAUGCAUCUGCCAAAACAAUCUUGCGUGUUUUGCGAAUAUAAAAUUCAUCAAAAAUUAUGGAGCUUCCUCAAGCAAAAAGAAAGGUUUCUGCCGUGUGGGACCACUUUGAUGUCAUUUCGGAAAAUAAGAUGACCUUUGGGAACAUUUUGAUCUCGAAGUGGGGAGGCAGACCAAAAGUGCCACAGCUGAUGCCAUCCUUGAGGUGCAGAGAUACAUGGCAGAGGGCAAUAUUGCGAGGUCCCAGGAUCCUCUUGUA